rnacentral:lncRNA from 1 species
CCUUUAAUCCCACAAACAAAUUCAGGGAGUGAAUGCAUGCCAUUCAUUUGUGGUCCCAAAAACAGGUUGAUACCUGGCCGCUGGUACUGAACAUCUCUGCAAUUUGGAAGCAGGGUAAUAAUUGUGUUGACACACAAGCUUCAAACUGUUAAAGCUAUACCCUUCUUGCUUCAGGAAUCCAUGUUGUAUGUCUCAAAUUCUGAAAGCAAAUGAGAAUUACUGCUUCCUUUAAGGCACCAUUCCAAGAUCUGCUUUUGUAUUCAUUCAAUCAGAUCAAUCAUAUGGAUUGUCAACUUUCAAGGAUACGAUGAAUUAUGAGUGAACAGAGGACUUGGAGGAAGAAUCAUUAAGAACAGAGCAAAAACUGAGAAGCAGAUAAGAGGAAGUUGGCUAUCAUUGAAGAAGAGGCAGCUUGCAUUGCUUUAGUUAAUGAUGAUAACCGUCAAACAUGCUCUUGGUUUGUAUGUUAACAUGAUUGGAGUAUGAGAGAAACUACAUUUGUCUAAUUUUUUUGACUUCAUUGAUUUUUUUUCCCCUCUCACUUAAUCUUCAAAUCAAAAUCUCAUCUUUGAUCAAACUUGAUCACAAAAUAUUAUUAAUGUUUGAUACUACUUGUCAAGAAAUUGCUAAAAUGUUUAUUCACUACGAAUACUGUUGAACCAAGAUCAGUAAAUGACCAAUCUUGAUGCCACAAGAUCUGACUAAACUCUUUGAUUAUUCACCAAGGGACAAAAGAAAUUAACAAUUGAAACAAACCGCGUGGAAUCAAAUUAGUUAUAUUCGGUUAUACAAGCUGAGGUGGCAAGCUGAGUCAGCAAGGGUGGGUCCCCAGGUGGUUUAAAUCGGUUGUUAUAACCAGCUGUAUUAACUGAUAGCUAUAUAAGCUACAGUGAGAGCUGAUCAGAUUAGUUCUACGGAGUGAGAUCGAUUGUGUGGGUUUUCUAGUGAGGAGAAUAUCUUUGUGUGAGUGAAAUCAGUUCUUGCUCUUGGAAGAAUCCAUUUUAAUCUUGUUCAUCUUCUAAUAAAGCUUUAGCUCUGCUGUUCCUGAUCGUGGAUGUAGGUACUUUGGUACCGAACCACGUUAACUCUGUCUUGAGUCUUUAAGUUUCUUUUCUUACUCUGGAAUGUUUCGCUGUGUCCUCUGGUUCUGGUUUCUUGCUUGUUUGUGAUUGGUUUCUGCUUAAGAAGGGUUUACGAAUUUGGUCUGUUGCAUUAACAAACAGAAACGGAAUCAAAGAAAUCACAAAUAAAGAACACACACAGCAAUUACAGAGGAUUCAGCCAAAGAUGGCCAGCGUCCUCUUGAACAAGAACAAAUUACAACGGUGAAGGAAUUUUCACAGGCUACAGAAUGAACCCAGCUCCAGCCUCUAAGGCUUUAUAUACAGCUCACAAUGGAUAUGGAAAGGUCCCCUACUUACCAAACAGGUCGUUCCCGCUUCCUGUAACGGCCGUAGCGCCUUUUCAUUCAGCUGAUACACGUGCAACGCAGGUGUACUGAAAAUAUUUUCUUUGGUGGGUGAUUGCACGUGCCUCGCAGGUGAGUCACUCAGCGCACACCGCUGACACAUGAUCGAAGUCGUACGCAUCAUGUAAAAUAAAGCCGACAUGGCAUCCAUAAGGAAACGACGGCACAGUGACUCUUAUUUUCAUAAACCGACUUUGUUGUCUGCUAUUUAUUUCUGAUUCAAUAGCCUGUCCCGUAUAUUCGUCCGAAAAAUGGAUGUUUGCCACAGCAAAAAUUUUCCAAUUAAUUAAUGAAAUAAAAUAUUGACUAAUUUUCUUUUUCUUUUUUUAACAAACAAUUAGUAAUACUAGCAAUUCCAUGCGACAACUGGAAGGAGUUAAUUGUUGUUUGAGGAAUUAAAUAGAGCGACCGUGAUCUCCUCCAAGUGAAAGUGAGCAAAUGGUUGAGCAGGUCACCUUGACUAGGUGGUAUGAGCUUGAUCAAAUCACCUCGACCAAGUACAAUGAGGUUGAGCAGAUCGCCUUGACCAGGUGGUGUGAGCUUGAGCAGAUGACCAUGUGGUAUGAGCUUGAGCAAAUCACCUCGACCAGGUGCUAUGAGCUUGAGCAGAUCACAUCGACCAGGUGCUAUAAGGUGGAGCAGAUCACCUCGACCAGGUGCUAUGAGGUGGAGCAGAUCACCUCGACCAAGUGCUAUGAGCUUGAGCAGAUCAAAUCGACCAGGUGCUAUGAGGUGGAGCAGAUCAUCUCGACUAGGUGCUAUGAGGUGGAGCAGAUCACCUCGACUAGGUGCUAUGAGCUCGAGCAAAUCACCUCGACUAGGUGCUAUGAGCUCGAGCAAAUCACCUCGACCAGGUGUUAUGAGCUCGAGCAGAUCACCUCAACCAUGUGCUAUGAGCUUAACCAGAUCACCUCGACCAAGUGGUCUAAACUUGAGCAGAUCACCUCGCCCAGGUGAUGACCAGGAAUAAAGACUCAGUUAAAAUAAACCACCACAAAGCUCCUCCGAAAAAUCAGGGUAUUAAUUUGAUCAAUUAAUGGUUAUUGUCACGAUCUAAGGCCGUGGAUGUGGGGUGUUUUAUAAAAUCCCCGAGAAAACCACGCAAAGGGGGAGAGCUCUUUUUCCCUUGAUCUCACUGAGAAAUUCUUUCUGGAGACUCUACUUUACUUUUCUGCAAAUUAUUCAAAGAGCUUUUGGUUUUAAGGCAAUGUUUAUUAAACCAUAUGAGAAAUGGCAUAUUUGGCUUUUCUUAUAACCUCAUAACUGACUUGAGCAUCGGAGGGUUUACGCCGGAAAAACUUUCGGCACCUCUGACCAUCUUCUGUAAUUUCAGGUACUUAUUGAUCGUCAGCUUGAAGAUUAUAUGCUCAUAACUGUUCUGCUCAUAGUCAGAGAAUAUUCUCAGAGAUCAAUCAGCAGCUUCCCACCAACAAAUUUAAUACUGAUGCAGGGAUCUGAAACUGAGUCACUAACCAAUUGGUUCAGAUUUCGGCAUCAACAAUUGUCCUGCUAUUAAUCGGACUUUUUUGAGUCCAGAGACUUUUCUUUCCUUGGAGAAAAAUUGCACCAUGCGUCCAAUCACUUGGCAAAAUUCAACGUGUAACGCCUUUGAAUUUUUUUUUCCCUCUCUUUAUUAAUUAUUAUGGUAGUUCUUAGAUAGAUAAUAAGAAUUUGUUGUUUCUUUUUUAUUGGUUUAUUCAAGAAAUUCAGAGAAUGAUUCUAGGCUUCUCCAAGUUACUAGAAUUAUUUAAAAUUUCUUAAUGUUACAUUUAUUAAUUACGCAAGACAUGUGCACCUACAUUAUUACUUGCAUUUGUUAUGCAUUUAUUAUUUAUAUUUUUCAUAAAAGCCUCUAUUUAUUUAAAGAUGCAAACAUUCAUAUUUACAUUUAUUUAAGCUUUUUACAUAUUUAUUGUUGCUUUCCUAAAGUUUCUUUAUUCAAGUUUACUUUAAAUUUAUUCAAGUUUACUUUAUAUUACACUUAUUAAAGAUUUACUUUAUAUUUAUUAUUGUUUUACUAAUUUUUUUUUAAUAAAGUUUAUUUUAAUUUAUUAUUACACUUAUUAAAGUUUGCUUUGAUUAUACUUAUUAAAAAUUUGCUUUAUAUUUAUUCUUUCUUUAAUAAAAUUGCUUUGUUAAAGUUUACUUUAUAUGUAUAAUUGCAUUUAUUAUUGUUUGCUUUAAAUUUGUUGAAUCUUGAAAACGUGGACUCGGAGAAGGAAGCAUAAUUAUUCAACUUCUUUCAAUUGUUCAUCUUCAUUCUCUCUCAAUUCCAAAAAUCUAAAUUCUAGGUUUCUCAUAGCAACCUUCUCCAAAUCUUCAAUAGAGUUAGAGAUCUUAAUUAAUUUGGAAGCUUCUUGAUUUGGUGAGUCUUUAUUUGCUUAUGUUUUUAAAGACCAAAUUCACAAAAUUAUUUAUACCACAAAAUGAACUCGAAAAAUUCUGAAUUUUUAAACAGAAGUUAAUAUAUCUGUUUAAUAUUUCUAGUUUUAAUUUCAUAAUUUUCUGAUUAAUACAUAAUUUCAUAAAAAUCUCGGAAUCAAUAAUGUUCUCACUACAAGAAAAAGUGCCUACUAUGACAAGCAAAAACUGUCAUAGUAGGGGGUGGAUGACAGUUGUUUAUACCGUCAUUGUAGCCACCAUCAAGAAUUGAUGACAGAACAAUACCAAUUAUAAUCUGUGAUAGAUAUUGCCAAUCACAUAACUGUCAUAACUUUAUUUAGAGGAGAAUAUAAUAAAUUUGAAUUUGGCUCUUUUUUUUUAAAUUUGCAUGCCAUAUUUUGAAUUUUUUGGCGGGAAAAUUAAAUUUGGCGCGAAAUGCAAAUUAUAAUUAAAUUAAUUUUCUCAAUUAAAUCAAAAAUUGAAAUUAUAUUUAAUAAAAAAUGGGUAUUUUGUUUGCAUCAUGAAAUUAUUAUCAUUUUAAUAACAAUCCUGCAAUUAAUUUAUUAGAAAUUAAUAUUUCAUAAAUUAGCUAAUUAAUUAGAUUAUUAAAAUUAAUAUUGCAACUAAAAAUUCACUGACAAAGAAAAUGAAAUGGAUAACAUUGACUAAGAUUUCAUAAUUGUCAGCAAACAUAAUUUAAUCAAAUUCGAGAGUGACAAGUCCAACAUAAAUAGAAGAAGAGUAUUGUAACAACCUAAAAACUAAAUUCCAGAAACAUGUACAACACAAAUGAACCAUGAUCAGUUCAAUUCCAGUAGUCAUAAUUGUCAUCACCAUUUCAAGUUUUAUUGCAAAAGGUUAAAGGAUUACUAGAUUUAUUUUAUAAAUAUGGUUUGGGUAAUGAUCCUUCAAGACCUCGUAAAGAUGCCUAUGGAAAACAAGUAAUAAUUACUUCACUGCAUAUCUAAAUAAUUAUAACUAAUUAUAUUGCUAAGAAAAUAAGUAAUUAAUUACUUUAUGCAACAAUAACAAUUUUUUUCCAAGCCAUAGAAUCAUACAAUGUCAUCAAUUGAUAAAUAUAAUUCAGCUUGUUUAUUGUCAAAGACCCCAAGAUAAAUUUCACUAAAUGAUGAUCUAGUCAACCCUCAACAAGCGUACUUGCAAAGAACAUCUAUUUUUGCUGGUACUUUGUAUUCCUGCAUAUUCUUAAUAGAUUUCUUUAUAUAACUAGAAUAAUAAAAAAUAUUAUUAUUAAUUUAAGACAUAUCAAAGAAAAACAAUAAUUAUAGAGAUGUGUUGGGAAAAGAACUCACACAAGCAGUUGCAAAGUAAGUGGAAACAAACUAUGUCCCCUUUUUUGUGAUUAAAACAGGAUAUGUACCAUACAUUAACAAACAGAAAAUAAACCAACACAAUCUAAAACAAUAAAUCAACCACAAGAGGCACAUAUUUUUACGUGAAAAACCUAAAUCGAGAAAAACCAUAGGAUGGUAGUCCGAUAGAACCUUCAACUAUAUUAAUAAUGGGAUUACAGAAAAAAUUAUCUCUAGAUAAUACUAGAGGCUAACAACAUAAAAACAUCAAGAAUCUCAAAAUCUUGGCCUAUAGUAACAGCUUAAUAUUUAUCGAUCUAACAAGUAGGUAUCUCAAAUAACAACCAUCAGAAGGAUAAAAAAAAAAUCAAGACAAGUAGGAUUGUAGAGGUGAUGCCAAUAACUUACCCACUAAAUUCAAGUGAAAACGGAGUUAAAAUGGCAUUUCGAUCGUCCAAUCAAAACUUGAAACUCUUGGCUCAAAAAUCAAAUAUUACACCAUUGUCUAUUUUUUUUCUCUCUUGUAUUUUUCUUCUCUUUUCUAUCAUUGUUGCAAUUUGCUUUUCUUUUCUUUUUCUUUCAUAUAUAUUAUUAUUUGGCUAAUUUCAUCUAACUCCAAAACUUAAUAUUAAUUGCACAUCAAGUGAGCCUUUUAGACUUGAGGCUUUAGGGCCAACCAAAUAAGAUAGACCCAAAAAUAUGUACCCCAAUAUCAUUUAAGAUGACAAAUUGUUUAGGCCAAGUAUCAACGCCAUGAGUCAUGGGGCCAACUGUUGUGGCUUGGCUUGGGGCCUUGUGCCGAGUCUUGACAGCAAAUGGGUGUGCUUGUGGUGAGCGCGGAAAUAAGGCAGGGUUGGUGCAUUGGCUAGGGCGCGGCAGCAAGGCGUACGUUGUGGCAUGGCCACAAGCAAUACAGGACAGCGCGCACGAGAGCGUGUGUGGGUGGCGCACGCAGUAUCUAGCAAGAGCAUGGGUGCAAUGGGCGCACGAGUGUGUGGUACAGUGGGCGGUCGAGCACGGGGCAUGAUGGGCGUGUGAACACAAGGCGUUGAGGUGCGCAAGUGCGAGGCACAAUAGUGCGCAAGCGAGCAUGGCACAAGACGCGCGAGCAUGGGGCUCAACAACAUGUGAGUCAGCUAUUGGAUUGCGUGAACAGUUGCGAGAUUUUGGCAUAUUUGUGUACCAGAGUGCGCACGAAAGUGCAGCGACAUGAGGCAUGCAUGUAGGGGCUGAAUCAUGCGAAAAUAAGAGGCGUUCAUACGCAGACUGGGUAAGGACAAUGGUUGUUGGAUGUGGAGCAUGGUUGGCUGCAACUCUCCAAGAAAUGGGCCUAAAAUUAAGCGUGAGUGGCAGUUGCGAGUACAACUAGAGUGGGAGAACAUGGUCUUGAUCAUGUGCCUAAAAAUGAUGAGCAAGAUAGUGGGUGUGGCAGUUACAACUCAUGAUUCCUUACUAAUGGACAUGGUGAGCAACGAUUGCUCAAAUCAAAGGGGAGUGGAGAUGUACUCAUAGGAUUAUGCUUAGUGGGUGCCUAAAAACUUGGGGAGGGAUUUAAGGUGGCGUGAGAGUGGCGCACCACCUAACCUUAGCAAGUGGGGGUGUCACUUGCAAACCAUGCAUAUAAAUAGUGAUGGGGAUGUAUGUUGGGGCGCGAGUUUUGAGUUGAGCAUUUUGUCCUUGAGCAUAAACCUAAAAUUGUUUGUAAAUCUUUUCUUAUUGUGGAAAUAGAAAAGUUGGGGGUUGGUGCCUUAGUAAAAAGCCAAAUACUUGUGCUCUUGUGUUGUGUGUGUGUUGUUCUUUGUGUUGGCGAGAAAGUGUUCUUGCAUAACCUCCAUUUACGAGUGCUGACAUGCUUCUUGUUAAAUUGCUUCCGUUGGGUUUGGGUUGGCUGGCUAAGUGGAGUUCUUAGUGCCAUCACGCGGGUUGCCACACCUAGCUUAUAAAAGCCCGGUGACACCAAGCAACAUGGGAUCCAAUGACAUGGCUAACAAGAACUAAGUCAUACCCAAUAAGCCUUGGUAAAAAGGCAUCUCCUUUAAUUGCAAUAUUAACAGCCACAUGAACAUAUGUGACUAUCAAUGGUACUCUAUGCACAGUCACAUUAGGAUAAUUUUUUCUAACAUUGUACCUUUGGCUAUAACAUUUUUUUGUUGCCCACUGCUAACUUGCAUGAUUUGCCUUGCAUUAUCUAUGUGUAAAAGUAUUAAUCAUAGCAUUAUAAGUGAUAAAAAUUUAAACUUUGAGAUUUGGAAAAAAAAAGUGCACUUAUUUUUUCAUAUAUACCUAUUUCUUCUUAAAGCACUAAUUUUACAUAUAUACUUGUUUAUUCUUGGAGUACUUUUUCUCUAUUCUUGGUUCCUUAGAGCAACUACCCUUUUCUGAGGGAAUUUUUAGUGACUGGAUCAAUAUGACUCCAUUCUUUUGGAACAUUUUGUUGACCUAUAUGGUUAUACAGUCUUUCAAUUUUGACUAUAACAAACCAUGUGUCAAUGGUAGAAUAUGAAAUGCAUUGUUCAUAAGCUUAAGGUAUUCAAAUGCACAAAACUCUAUCUAGACAAGAAUGGGCAUUAGGGUCACUAAGCUUAGAUAUUUCAUUUUGUAAAGCUCAUUUGAACAAAUGAAUGCAUGAUCAAAGCAUUUAAAAGCUCAACUUAUUCUCUCAUUAUAUUUUAAGAAAAAAUCAUUUACGUGGAAAUAUAAUCUCAUAAAAUGAGUUAUUGAACUCUACUAAGAAUGAUUUGAAAGGUUUCGAAAAAAAAAAUGUUAUUUUAAGUUGAACGGACACAGUCACUCAUAUGGUAAAGUUACAAGCAAAGUGGUAUAGUGUGGUUGGGAAUUUAUGUUCUCAGAUGAUGGUUGGGGAUGAGAUCAAAGAGACGGGUAGCUAGGAGUACAAUUAUUUCCUUGUACAUUUAUAUAGCUAUUUCGGUAGGUUUGGAAAAAUCUAUACAUUUUAGUACUCAAACGAUAAACCACUAACUUCAAGUAGGUAGUCGAUAAGGUUGAGAAAUGUUUCUAAAAUUAAGCAGCAUACCGCUAGACUUGAAACAGCUAAUCAAGUGGGUUGAUAUAAGGUUCUAGAAUGAAACGGCAAACCAUUUACUCAUAAGCGGCAAGCUAACUUCCAAUAGAGGGGUCUUUGGAUCAAAUGGCAAACUGAUUAAAUCACAAGCCACAAGUCGACUUCAAUCAAUGAACUCUAAAUCGACAACUCCCAAGCAGCAAUCUAAUUGUGAAAAAAUUUCAAACUUAUGCAUAACGGUAACUAGCCACAUAAGCAAAUAGCAAUCCAUUUCAUUACGAGCGGUAAACCGAUUAUGCUUGAAAAGUCAAUAAUGGCUAAUUUUAUUGAUCAAUCUAAAUAAAUAGCCAAGGAAAACUCAUUUCAAAUUGAACUUUUGAAAUCCAUAUUAGAGUUUAAAAUAGAAAAAAAAGUCUCGAGUUUUUUUAUUUGCUGACACACAUUUAUUGAUUUGUAUUUGAGCUAUCAUUGCAAAUAUACUCCUGAAGAGUGCAAUCUUUGUAAACUCCAGUUUCAUUUCAAAAAAUGAGUGCUAGUGAGUGUGUAAAGGUUUAUUGAAAAAGGGAUAUAUAAUCAUCUCUCGUUGAUAGUGUGGGUGUGUAAAGGUUUAUUGAGUGUGUAAAGGUUAAUCUAUCAACGAGAGAUGAUUAAAUAAUCUGAUUAAAGUUAAUGAUCAAUAUGUAUAAAACGUAAAGCCGCGUCAACUUUCAAGAAAACUGAAAAAAUAGUACAAUAUAUAUAUAUAUGAAGCUCCAUCUUUAAAAUCUUGAGAAGCAGAUACAUUUUCUUUUAAUAAUUUAAACAUAUCGAGUACCCUAUAGCCUCUGUAGAGUAGUAUCAACAAUAUUUAACUAGAACUAAACUCCUCAUGUCAAUUUCAGAGGUGACUUUAAUUAUAGGCGAACAUGACAAUUGUCUAAAGUUUCAUUUAGAAAGACCUCAUUAAUUUUUUUUGAGUAUUUCAUUAAUAAUUUUUUAAUUAAUAAAGAUUUUUUAAAAUUACAUAAUGUGAGAAAAAUUUAUUAAACAUCUCUGUAAUUAAUAAUUAUCAUAUAAUUAAGAGUUAUUUUCUAUAGAAUAUCUAUAUUUGGUAACCUUAUUGUUAAAAAAAUAUAAUUAAUAAAAUUGUCUAACUAUUAAUUUAUUCAUUCUUAUUUUUUCUAAGAAAAGUAAAUAAAUUACUUACCUUUUUAGUUUCUUAAGAAAACUUAAUUAUUUAAUGUUAGAAUCUUUAACUUUGAGUAUUCUUUUUAAUUUCUAUUAAAAUGAGGAAUUGACCUGUGGUAGAUUCAGUAAAAAAUAAAUAAGAAUUUCUAAUUGUAAACCUUAUAAUCUAAAAAAUCAUAGACAAAAAAAUUUCUUACUCUCUCCUCUACAAAGAAAAUUAUUACAUACAUUAGUUCAUUUAGAAAAGAAAAACAUUAGUUUCUUGAACUAGAAAGUCCAUAUGCAUUAUGUGAUCAUCAAUUCGUCAUCUCAAAUUUUAAUAUACUCCAUUCUAAAUAUUCUAUUUGAAAAUAAUAUUAUUCUUAUUUAUUUAUUUUUGUAAAAAUUCUAAUGAAAGUAAAUUUUUAGAUUUUGUUUUUGAAAUAUUUUAGGCUCUUCUUUAUUAUUAUUGAAAUUCAAAAACUAAAAAUGAAAUAAAUUUUGAGCUCUAUUAUAAUUUUUUUUAAUAUUAAAGUUUUUAAAUAAAAAGAGGUCUCGUAAAAGAAAAUUUUACCUAUGGCCAAUUUCUCUAAUUUUUAAAAUACAUAUUUUAAAUAUCAAGUUCUCUACAAAAUCUUUAAAAAAAAAAAACUAUUUCUUGUAGUAUUGGAUAUCGAUGAAUGAAUAUCGGCAUCCACAAGAUUCCAAAUCAGUUGUUGGGUUUUCAGAAAACACAUAAUAACAAGCAGACACAAAAAGCUUAUAGUUGUGGCUCCACAAUCACGCAGUCCAGAUCAGCUCCCGUCCAUGUAAUCAAUAUAUGGUCCAACUAGAUGCCUCGUGACCUUUCUCACCCGGCUAACAGCGAGUCAAGAUAUCUCACCGUCACCGGCACUGCACUUACCGCAUUCAGAAUUUUCAGAUCCACCUGUCCAUAACCUUCCCCAGGUCACUGCCACGGGCGUUCCCGCCACCACCAUAGCUCCAAUCGCCAUCAGUCCCUAAUAACCAAAUCACCAACCCAACAGCUCACAUCCGCCUAACAGGCCGAUAUCCUUCGUUUGAUAUUUUUCUUUUGUUUUUCUUUUAUUUAUUUUGAGUCUCCUAAUUAUUUUAUGUUUUAAUUUUUUUUAAUUUUUUAAUUUUUCUAUUUCCUUGUCUUUAUGGUGUUUGUUUUCUGCUCCCGAGAUCUUUUAUAUAUGAUCGUAAAUGGUGUCGAUUCACAGUUUGGAUCAGAAUCGUAUCAGCGUUCAAAUGGAGAGAGUUUGCUUAUAUUGGAGUUGAUGAAUAAUUCUAAUGGUGGUGCAAUGAGAUUUCGAUGACCUGGCCAUGUCGCUGAUGGCAUGGGUUGAGGCCUCAUCGAGAGUCAGGCUGGGAAUACUUGAGAUGAAGUGGUUAUCAUUGCUGAGGUUUUGUAGUUUUUUAGUUCUGUUCUGCAGUUAAUUAGCAUUAUGUUGUGGUGUAUUCUAUUAUUUUUUAUAUUCUUAUUUUCUUAUCCCAUAUAUUGUGCAAUAUGGUCUUGUAUUUAUUAAUCUUCAAUGAUUGUGUUUGUAUAAAUAUAUAUAUAUAUAUAUAUAUGUAGCAUAUUCCAAGAAGGUUUUGACAAAAAAAAAAAGUUGUUUGGUCCACUGAAAACUGGACGUGGCUGAGACGAAAUCCGCUGUAAAUACGUGUCCUUUAAUCAUCAUCUCGAACUUCAUUCUAUCAAAGUGCAUGCCCUAUUUAAACCUCCCACCAUGUGCACUCAGACUCAAGUGUGCACGCAAAUGCCAAAAAACAAGCACAUGGAGCAGCAACAGCAACCCCACUUUCUACUAUUAACAUUUCCAAUACAAGGCCACAUUAACCCAUCCCUCCAAUUCGCCAGGCGUCUUACGCGCAUUGGUACACGUGUCACCUUCGCCAUCGCCAUCUCCGCCUACCGCCGCAUAGCCAAUAAUCCCACGCCCGAAGACGGCUUGUCGUUUGCCAGCUUCUCCGAUGGAUAUGACGACGGAUUCAAUUCCAAACAAAAUGAUCGGACGCACUACAUGUCGGAGUUCAAGCGUCGUAGCUCCGAAGCCCUGGCUGAGCUCAUCACGACCAGUCAAAACGAGGGUGGUCAACCGUUUACUUGCUUGGUUUACCCUCAACUCCUUCCUUGGGCUGCUGAAGUGGCGCGUGCGUAUCACCUCCCUUCGGCGCUACUCUGGCUUCAACCAGCCCUCGUUUUCGACGUUUAUUACUAUUACUUCUAUGGAUAUGGCGAUCUAAUUGAAGGGAAGGUUAAUGAUUUGAUAGAGUUACCGGGACUGCCGCCACUCACCGGCCGUGAUCUUCCUUCUUUCCUAGAUCCCAGAAAUUCAAAUGAUGCUUACUCUUUCGUAUUACCUUCUUUUAAAGAACAAAUGGAGGCAAUUGUUGAAGAAACCAAUCCAAGAAUUCUUGUCAACACGUUCGACGCAUUAGAAGCUGAGACCUUGAAAGCUAUCGAUAAGUUCAAUAUGAUCGCAAUCGGACCGUUAGUUGCAUCGGCGUUGUUGGACGGAAAAGAACAGUACGGAGGCGAUCUUUGCCAGAAUAGUUCAAUAGAGUAUUAUAUGGAAUGGCUAAGCUCGAAGCCCAAAUCAUCUGUUAUCUACGUGGCAUUCGGAACCAUAUGCGUUCUGGAGAAGCGUCAAGUGGAGGAAAUUGCACGGGGGUUGUUAGAUAGUGGCCAUCCAUUCUUGUGGGUCAGUAGAGAAAGCGACAAUAAAGAUAAAGAUAAAGAUAAAGGAGAAGAUGACGUGAUGAUGAAGUACAAAGAAGAGCUGAAUGAGAAGGGAAUGAUAGUGCCGUGGUGUUCACAAGUGGAGGUUCUGUCACAUGAAGCGGUGGGGUGUUUUGUAACGCACUGUGGGUGGAGUUCGAGCUUAGAAAGUUUGGUAUAUGGCGUGCCUGUGGUGGCGUUUCCUCAGUGGACAGAUCAAGGGACAAACGCUAAAAUUAUUGUGGACUUCUGCAAAACCGGAGUGAGAGUGAAGGCAAAUGAAGAAGGGAUUGUAGAAAGUGAUGAGAUUAACAGGUGUUUGGAGUUGGUGAUGGGAGAAGGAGAUGAUUUUAGAAGAAAUUCUUUGAAAUGGAAGGAUUUGGCCAGAGAUGCCGUCAAACAAGGAGGGUCUUCACAUAAGAAUCUCAAGGCUUUUGUUGAUGACUUUAGCACCAGCAAGUAGUUUUAUCUUCUUCUUUUUUUUCCUCGUUUUUACUCUUUGAAUAUGGGAAGAUUUAAUAUAUAGAAGAAAGACAUUUGUAACGAUUUUUACUUUUUAUCCUCAUCUGUCAUAUGGCAUGAUGGUUACGCGACGAUCGUUAAUUUUGGUGUCAAGAAAAUUUGAUGACGGAUUUUAUAUGUCAGGAAAUGCAUGAUAUAUUAUCCAUUAUAAUUCUAUCAUAAAUAUUUUGAUAAUAAAUUAUCAUGCAUGAUUAACAUUUAUUAUAAUCACUUUCAAAGCAUGACUAAUAUCUAUCGCAAGAGAAUGAUACAUAUAAAUGAAUUUGGCUGGAAUUCCAAAAUCUAAAUAAAUUUGACGAAAUUUUAAAACUUUUAAAUGAGUUGGGCUGGAAUUACAAAAUUAUUUUAUCUAAUUAUUAAUUUAUUCAAUUAAUUGUAUUUAUUAUUGAAUUAAAUUUUAAUUUUGAAAUAUAUUCUUUUAUAAAUUAUUAUUAUGAUGAUGAUGAUAUGUGUAUGUACUCCAAAAUUAUAUAAAUAUAUACAAAUUAAGAAUUUAAAAUUAAUUAAACUACAUAAUAAUAACAUGAAUAUAUUAUUUGUUCUUUUAAACUAAAUACAAUUACUAUCUAUCACAUAAUAUGAACAAGAACAUCAUUCAUUCUUAGGCUAAAUCAAACUCCAUAUUUCCACUAAAAACAUAAAAAUUCCAGCUUCUGAGAGAUGAUUGGUACAAACGUUGCAUGUUAGCUUAACUAGCAAGCAAAAAACUAAAGCACUUCACCAACCAACUACAGUCUAACAAAUUAUGUGACGUUCAGGACAAAAUCCAGCAUGGGGUCCUUAGAUCCAAAACACAAUUUAGUUGCCGGCCACCUGGAAUUUCAAUUAAGAGAAAAAAAAUCAGUUGGAUAAUCUCAAAAACCAAGUUUCCAUCAAUUUUAUCUUUGCAAAAUGCUGUUAGGAUUUUGGUGGGUGAAGCAGAACCACAGUUAAAAUGAAAUUGAAAGAAAAAAUAAAGAACAAGCAGAAAUAGGAGACCAAGAAAUUACGUGGUUCGGCUUUUAGCCUACAUUCACGGGCGAAGAUAGAAAGAAAAUAUUUUACUAGUGAUAUGAGAAUUACAAAUAUUGUAAUAUUUUGGCUCACUACCCAGAACCCAAUACACCCAAUCUCUCACUCACUAGACUCACAAGAACUUUAUAAUUUAAACAUUUAAAAUUACCCAAGCUCCCUGCUUUCUCUCUCACAAAUUUUUGAUGCCAAAAUGAAAAGGGGAGCUCUCCCUUUUUAUAGCCAAAAUUGGCUAUUAAAAUAUUAUUUUUUUCUCACCGCCAUUAUCUUCUUCAUUCUUCUUUUUCCUUCUUCAAAGAACGCUACUGCCAAAUUCCAUUGUUUCUUCUUCUUUCAUUUUGUCUUUGUUCAAAUUUGGCAGCUUCAACUAUUCCUUUUGCUUCAGCAACUUUCCCCUUCAAUAUUUGCUACUUCAAAGUUUCUUCAUUCUUCUAGAUUGGUGGCUGUCAAAGCCAAUUUGAAUUUGGCUUGUUAAAGCCACUAGCUUUGUCAGCCAUUAUUUUGACAUUCUCCUACUUGGAGAUUUGAUUGAGGAUCAAUCAAUCUUCACCCAUCAUUUUUGUUUAGCCAUUGUCAUGCUGCUUACAUCUCUAUUAGGUCACAAGAGGAUCUACUCUAUACAAACUUGUCAGUAUUGAUUGGUUUGAUCAUAACAUAUGUCCUUCGUAUGGAUUUUCAAUAAAUCUACACUUCUGUCUUCCACUACUUCUCGAACAAAGUGAUAUUGUAUCCUUAUGUGCUUUGUCCUGGAAUGAAAGGCUGGGUUCCUUGCAAUAUGCAAUGUGCAAGGCGCUCUAGUCGCCAUGUAUUCUACUUCUAUUGUAGAUAAAGCCACAAUGGUUUGUAGUUUUGAAACCCAGCUUACAGUUCCUCCCGUAAGUGUAAAUACAUAGCCAAUAGUGGAUUUCCUUUUAUCAAGGUCUCCUGUAAAAUCUGAAUCCACGUAACCCCUGACAGUAAAUUCUGAUUCUCCAUAACAUAAUGCAACAUUGGAGGUUCCUCUAAUGUAUCUCAAAAUCCUUUUCACAGUUUUCCAAUGUUCUCCACCAAGAUUCGCUAUGUAUCGACUGAUUGCUCCCACUGCUUGUGCAAUGUUUGGUCUAGUACAUAUUAUAGCAAACAUUAAACUUUCCACUGCUGAUGCAUACGGUACUCGAGACAUCUCCUUCCUCUCUGCUUCAUUGCUAGGACACAUACUUGAGGAUAAUUUGAAAUUAACAAGAGGUGGGGUAAAAAUUAGCUUACAAUCGUGCAUGUUGAAGCAUCAUAAGAUUUUCUUCAAGUAGUUCUUCUGAGAAAGCCAAAUCUUCUAGUUAAUUCUCUCUCGGCGAAUUUGCAUCCCUAGAAUCUUGUUUGCUGGUCCUAAGUCCUUCAUUUUAAACUUCCUAGUCAAUUGUGCCUUCAAUUCUUGGACUCGAUCUUUGUUAGGGCCUGCUGCCAACAUGUCAUCCAUGUACAACAUCAAAAUAAUGAAAUCAUUAUCUUCAAACCUCUCGUAAUAUGCACAAUGGUCUGAACUGAGUCCGUUGCAUCCAAGACUCAUGAUGAAGGAAUCAAAUCUCUUAUACCAACACCUCAGUGUCUGUUUGAGACCGUAUAGAGAUUUGUUCAACCUGCAAACCAAGUUCUCCUUUCCUAUUUCAGCAAAAACUUCUGGUUGGAGCAUAUAUAUUUCUUCUUCAAGUUCUCCAUGAAGAAAUGCAGUUUUCACAUCUAACUGCUCAAGAUGUAAGCCAAAUGUAGCAAACAUCGCCAAGACUACUCUAAUUGUUGUAAGUUGAACCACCAGAGAAAAUAUCUCAUUGAAGUCAAUACUUUCUUUCUGAGCAUAUUCUUUCAUCACCAAUCUUGCACGAUACCGCUCCACUUGGCCAUUACUAUCACGUUUGAUCUUGUAGACCCAUUUGUUACCAAUGGCUUUUCUUCCGCGUGGUUGUGAUACAAGUUCACAUGUCUUGUUCUCGUGUAGAGUUUCAAUUUCCUCCUGCAUUGUUGUCAUCCACAAAGCAACAUUUGAGUUGUUUAAAGUUUCAUGGAAAGUUGAUGGCUCUCCAUCCUCUGUUAGAGGACAGUAUACAACAUUAAUAUCCGUGACAUACUCCGAGUGCCAUUUUGGCGGUCGUCUCUCACGAGUUAACCAACGAACUUCUGAAGCCUUGGACUCGACUAGUUCUUGUUCCUUAUGCUCUGGUGAUGCUUCAGAAGAAUUCGAAUCUUCUGGAUUAUUUUCCAUAUAUACCGGUACAAUCUCUGACUUUUCUUUUACAGUGUUAUCAUCCUCAUCUCUCUUUUAAAAUUGAUCUUCUACAAAGAUAACAUCUCUGCUGAUGACAAUCUUAUGGGCAGUGGGGUCCCACAGACGAUACCCUUUUACUCCAUCGGCAUACCCCAAGAAAAUACACCUUCUAGAUUUUUUAUCUAACUUUGUUGUUUCUUGGAUAUUGUACAUUACGUACACAGGACAUUAAAUGCAUGUAGGUAGGAGUAAUCAGCUAGCUUUCCAGUCCACAUCUCCAUCGCUGUCUUCAGCCCAAUAGCAAUGGAUAGCGACCGAUUUACUAUAUAACAAGCAGUUUUGGCUAUUUCUGCCCAGAAUGAAUUAGGUAGACCAGCAGUCCUUAAUAUAGCUCUUAUCCUUUCUGUAAGAGUCAUGUUCAUCCGCUCUACCUCUCCAUUUUGUUGAGGAGUUUAUGUUACCAUGAACUGCCUCUGAAUACUUUCUUGCUUAUAGAAAACAAAAAAUCCGCCGUCUGUAUACUCUCCACCAUUAUUUGUCCUCAAGCACUUAAUCGUUUUGCUAGAUUCAAGUUCCACUCGAGCUUUGUAUUCUUUAAACACUGAAAAUACAUCUAACAUUUUCUUAAUUGGAUACACCUAACAUCUCCUGGAAUAAUCAUCAAUGAAAGUCACCAUAUACUUUGCAUCUCCUAUGGAUAUGUCUGGUGAUUCCCAAACAUUAGAGUGAACGAAGUCUAUAAUGCAUUUACUUCUAGCAAUAGAUCUACUAAACUUUAAUUUAUAUUGCUUACUUAUAACACAAUACUCACAAAAUGGUAAGCUUACCGAUUUGAGACUUGGAAGUAAUUUUCGCUCAGAGAGAAUCUUUAAACCUUGUUCCAACAUGUGACCAAGUUUGAUAUGCCACAUCAUCAUUGACUCUUCUCUAUUUGAUACAACACAAGCAUCAGCUUAAUGUAGUGUUUCUCUUUUAAGUAUGAAUAGAUUGGCACCGAUCUUUUCUGGCUUCAUCAGUACAAGUACACCUUUAACAAUCUUCAUAAUUUCAUUUUCCACAUGAGUUUUGCACCCAUGACUAUCUAUUUGUCCUAAAGACAAUAGAUUUUUCUUCAGCGCGUUGACAUGUCGUACCUCCCCAAUUGUACGAAUUGUACUAUCAAAUAUUUUUAUUUUGAUAGUAUCAAUACCAACGAUCUCCAAUGCAUGAUUGUCACCCAUAUAUACAGAUCCUCCUGAGAAAGGUUCAUAUGUGUGGAACUGUUCUCUCUGAGAGGUCAUGUGCUAGGUAGCUCUUGGAUCUAUGAGUCAGACGUUAGAUAGCCAUUUUCUGCCUUCUAAAACAGUUGUUGCCUCGCUGUAGAGAAUUUCGCUAUCAUCCUAGGUACUUGCUACACACCCCUGAGCAUUUGAUGACUCAGGUUAUUUGCCCUCUCUUCUCUUCUGGUUGUUCCAACAGUCUUUCUUGAUGUGCUCUUUCUUGCCAUAGUUGUAGCAUUUAAUAUUCUUCUUACUUCUAGAUUUUGAUCUACCAUGAUUGUGAUUUCUACUGGGGCCACGUUCCAUUGAUCUCCCACUCGUCACUGAUAGUGCUUCUGCUUACUGCGAACUUGUUUGUCUGUCUUCUUUAUUUUUCCUCCUGCCCUCCUUAUUUAAUACAGAGGCUGCAACAUCAUCGAAAACUAGACUGUCCGCUGGGGUAUUGUUUGUCAAAUUAAUGAUGAGUUGAUCAUACGAAUCUGGUAGACUUUGAAGUAGAAGCUCCACAUGUUCAUUUUCCUUUAUAUUAGGACCUAACGUUAAUGAGUUGUGAAAAUAGAGUCUUUAAGGUGUUGAUGUGAUUGGUCACUGAUGUAAAUUCUAUUAUUCAAAGGGUCUAGAGUCUAGAGUCUUCUCUUUAAGAAGAUUUUAUUGUGCAGCGAUUUGGCCUCGUACAAUUUUGUGAGAGUAUCCCAUAUUUCCUUUGUUGUCUUUUUCUCUGCCAAACUGCAUAAUACUCCAUCCGCAAGUGCUAAGUGUAAAUAGAAAUAGCGUUGCCAUCUAUCUCGUUCCACUUGUCAUCAAUUAUCUCCAUGAGCUUUUCUCCAAUUGCUGUCAAGCAAUUAUUUUUCCUCAAUACAGUUUUUAUCUUCAUUUUCCACAAUGAAAAAUUAUUUCAGUUGAACUUUUCAAUUUCAUAUUUUUCCGCCAUCGCUUUUCACCACAAACUAACUUUGCUAAGAUUAGCUCCCACCACUUCACGUGAACAGGAACAGUAUACGUGAACAGUACCGUAUACGUGAAUAGUAUCCUAUACGUGAAUAAUACUUUUACGUGAACAGUACCAACGACUCCAAAAAAAAAAUACAACCAGUAGCUCUGAUACCACAAUUAGGAAAUUAGUGGGUGAAAUAGGACCACAGAUAAAAUGAACUUGGAAGAAAAAAAUAAAGAACAAGCAGAAAGAGGACACCAGGAAAUUAUGUGGUUCGGCUUUUAGCCUAUAUCCACGGGCGAAAAUAGAAGGAAAAUAUUUUACUAGUGAUAUGAGGAUUACAAGUAUUGUAAUAUUUUGGCUCACUACCUAGAAUCUCAAUACACUCAAUCUCUCACUCACUAGACUCACAGGAGCUUGAGUAAUUUUAAAGGCAAUUUUAAGCCUUUCAAAUUACUCAAGCUCUUUGCUUUCUCACUCACAAAUUUUUUAUGCCAAAAUGAAAUGGGGAGCUCUCCUUUUUUAUAGCCAAAAUUAGCUAUUAAAAUAUUAAUUUUUUCUCACUGUCAUUAUCUUCUUCAUUCUUCUUUUUCCUUCUUCAAAGAGCGCUGCUGCCAAAUUCCAUUUUUUCUUGUUCUUUCUUUUUGUCUUUGUUCAAAUUUGGAAGCUUCAACUCUUCCUUUUUCUUUUUCCUUGUUUUCUUUGGGUGGCACUUUUCCCCUUCAAUAUUUGCUGCUUCAAAGUUUCUUCAUUCUUCUAGAUUGGUGGCUGUCAAAGCCAAUUUGAAUUUGGCUUGUUAAAGCCACCAGCUUUGUUAGCCAUUAUUUUGACAAUUAUUUGCUUUAAUAAACUUCAAUAUGGCCUCAAAUUGACGUAUACAAUUUGAGAAAGUGCAACAUCAAUAAAACUCUCAAUUAUCUUAAUGUAGUCUUAUUGUACCUAACUGAUAACUUUCAACGUAAAACAUGAACUAUAAAAAGCCUCAAACAUAUAUAUUUCACCUUAAACACUUUAUGAACUAAUAAAGUAAUAGAGUACAGUUUAGAAAAUUAUUUACAAUUUUAUAACUACCAUAAAGAUUAAACCCUUAUGUGGUGUAAAAUUAAAUUUUAAGAUCUAAAUCCCUAACAUAACUUCAAUAAUUUAAAAAAACCUAGAAAUGAUCAAUAAAAUUUUUCUUUCUAAUUUUCAAAUUCCAUUCACAAUAAUUUAAUUUUAACUUAAUAAGAAACAAAAACAAUCAAAUCAUUAUAAUAAAUGUUCAUUCUAAAAUAUCACUUCCUAAGAACACAUAAGAGUUAGGACAGAGGAGACGACAUACCGGAGCUAGUGGAGGAGUUGUGGAGAUAUUAGUAGCAGAUGCAAUAGAGAUGUGAGCAUGCACCGAGUAGAAGGGGGUUAGUUUAGGUCGUUUGGAGUUGGAGGUUGCUGGUUCUAGUUUGGCUCCUUUGGAGAAAUUGAAGGGGGGCUAUGCGAGUUAAAAAGAAAGACGUUUGGCAUUUGGGUUUUGUUUUAAAUUAAGGUGGAGGUGCAAUUAGUCAUAAAAGAGGGUUAACUUAAAACAAUUUAAUUUUAAAGUUUCAAUUAUAUUUAAAAGUUCAUGACAAAUGUCUAUCAUAGUGCACAAGCAUCGUCGAAACUCAAAAAAUGUAAAAAUCAAUGUUAUAUUACAAUGGUAUUUUUGUAAUUAAAGUUAUUAAAGAAAAAUUAAAUAAUUGAAUUAAUAAUAAAAAAACGACGUCAUUGCAUACCAUGCCUGUCAUGGUUUGAAACGAUGUCAUUUCAAUCUAUGACAAUGCCUGUCAUGCUUCGUAAACAAUGUUAGAUGGUAUCGUAAAACGACUUGUCAUUUUAAUUUAUUAAAAAAUUAGCAUUACAUAUAUCUAUCAUUUACUUAUGUCAGUAAGUUAUAAGUCACGAAUAAGUCAUGUAAUCUUGACAUAUAAUUAUAUGUCACGAACAUGUCGUACACAUAAAUGAUAUAUUUGUGACACAAUGUUAUCUGUUAUGAAAAUUUUGUCAUUAAUUUGCGUUUCUUUAGUAGUGUUUAGGAUCAUAUGAUAUAUGAUAUGGUAAGAGAUGAUAUAAUUAAAUAUUGUAUGUGUGUAUGUUUAGUUGAAUUUUGUAUGAUUAUUAAUUAUAUGUUUUUCAAAAUAAAUAUACUUAUGUCAUAUAAUAUUAUUUAUUUAUUAUCAUCAUAUUUAUAAAAAAUUUAGCAUGCAUCGCUCUUUUUAUUAUUAUUGUUAUCAUUUUAUAUGUGGACAUACAAUUAUAUAUAAUUGUGGUGGAUCAGUACCCUAGUCUCCAGAGUGACGCUAUAUAUUUAUAUAUAUGCAGUUCACUCCACAAUAUCAGCCAGUAAGUACAUGAAAUGGGGUGAAUUAGUACCCUAGUCUCCAGAGUAAUGUUGUGUGUGUGUGUGUGUGUGUGUAGACACUUGUACAACUAUGUGCUGAGAUAAAUUUGAGCUUUAUGCCUUUUAUCUUACAUUUCCAAGUAAAAAUAUUCAUUAGAUAAAAGUUUGAGAUUUACCUUGAUUGGCCAUGAAUCCAAAUUUUAUUAUCCAGCUUGCCUCUUACUCGUGAGUCUAACAUUUUUUUCUUCUAAUUUGCAGUGAUUCUACCUUAAAUUUCAGCUGCAAAAUCAAGCUCACUAUGCACACAAACACAAUCGCCUAAGAGGGAGGGAGAGAGAGAGAGGUGCACUGUACUCAUACCCCAUAUUCUAUGAAUAGUGAACUCCGAAUAAGCUGAAGGUACUUAAAUAUUAUAACUGAGUGCAGGGACCCCUCAUGUGUUACUACAAAAUUGCCCAUUCCAUUAUGAGCUAAAAUAACACAAUUGAAGGUUAUACUUGCCCAUAAUGGACUACUAUAUAGGGUAUGACAAAAUUAGACUCAUUAACAUAAUAUUUGAUCAUUUAAUAAAUGAGUCUGCCAAAAGUGCUCUUUAAUAUUUGACAUCAGUCACAUAUUAAUCUGGUAAAACAUGAAAAACAAUUAGAAUGAUCUAUGUCAAUCUACAAUAUGUGAGAAAUAAAUCUAACACAAUGUACUAACCUUUUUUAGGCAGAAAAGAUUUUUGUUCAAUCAAGUCAUCAAUAAUAAACAAAAAUAAAUGUAUAACUUUUCUAAUGGCAAAAGAACUAUUAAAAAUAGCUUUGAAUUUGGCUGUUAAUAAAUAAACUUCAGUAUAAAACAGUAGUAUCAUUAUUAAAUAGUGGAGAAUGCAUAUUUAUAAAGGGUAAAAUUAUCAUUUUGUAUUCCAAAUCUCACUAACAUUUCAACUUUUACGUGUUUAAAUCCUCUAACCUUUUAUUAUGUGCGUUUUAUUAUAAUUUAAAUGUUUUAUAUAUUUUAGGGAUAUUUUGGCCAUUUCACAACUAACGAGAAGUCGGACAACAAAACGGAUGACAUUUUUAAAUACUGAUGUGGACGGCCAACAAAACGGAUGGCUAUUGGACCAAAAUACUGACGUGGCUAUUGGACCAUAAUAUUAUUAUUAUUAUUAUAAUCAUUGUCCAUUAUAAUUAAUAUUAAUAAAAAUUACUAUAAUAAUAUAAAAAAUGAUAAAAUAGAAAUUUUAUAAUUUAAGUGAGGGUAAUAUGGUCACUUAAGGGAAUAAGAAUCCCAUUCCCACCUCCCUAUGAGAAUUCAUUUGGCAAAAGCAGAGCUUCUAAGCUGUAAAGGCUGUGACACACCAAUGACUACAGGAACAAAACUUCAAAAACAAGUUGAUGGUUCACUUGGUCAAUUCAUUGAAGAUCCUUCAGCAUAUAGAAGUUUAGUUGGAGGCUUACAAUAUGUGAUACUUACAAGGCCUGAGAUAGUCAAUAUGUUGCUAUGCCAACUUUACAGCAUCUAAUGGCGUGCAAGAGAGUGUUGAGAUACUUAAAGGAAACUCAUGAUUAUGGACUGAAAUUUAGAAUUGAAGGAGAGCUGACACUAACUGGAUACACAGAUGCAGAUUGGGCUUGUGACAUUAAUGACAGGAAAUCAGUUGGUGCAUACUGUAUUUACUUGGGAAACAAUCUAAUCUCAUGGUCUUCUAAGAAGCAAUCAGUUGUGACUAGAUCUAGUGCUGAAAGUGAAUAUAAAUCUCUUGCUUCAGCUUGUGCAGAGAUUACUUAGCUUCAAUCAUUAUUCAGUGAAAUGAAUCUGCAGUGCACUUCAACUCCAGUGAUAUGGUGUGAUAACAAGAGUGCCACUGAGCUUGUAAAGAACCCAGUUUAUCAUUCAAGAACCAAACACAUUGAACUGGAUAUGCACUUCAUCAGAGACAAAGUUGUUGCCAAGGAAUUGCAGAUCAAUUAUAUACCCAAUGAAGAACAAAUUGCAUAUGUCUUAACCAAACCCUUAACCUUUAGUCAUUUUAACUUUUUCAGAAGCAAACUCAAUGUGCAACCUUGCCCGUUGAGUUUAAGGGGGGCUAUUAAGGAAGCACAUCUCAGCUUCUUAGUCAAAGACCAGUCAAUGCAAAGAGUGAUCAAAGAAGCCAAGUCAGCAGAGUGAUUGAGAGUGUGCCAGAUCAUUGACAGCUCAGGUUAAUUAAUUACACUUGUCUAUUGUGCUCUGCAUCUUUUAUUUUGUUAUUUUUUGUUUUCGUUUUAUGCAGUUAGUUAAGCUCACGAGCUUGAUAUAAAUAGAUUGUAUUUCUAUUUUGUUAUAUGAUGAAAUACUAAUAAUAAACAUUCAGUUCAAGAAUAUUCUUUUCCUCUGUAAAUUUUCUUUUCUUCCAAACACAAUAAGAUUUUCCUUUAAUCCAACAUCAGAAAGUUGAUUAAUUUGCGCCGUCUUGAUAUAAUGGGUGCAUGUUUAAUAAAAGAGAUGCCAUUUGGAAUAAAGGAGUUAAAGAAUCUUCAGGUGCUAUCUAAUUUUAUUGUGGGCACGGGUACCAGAUCAUCCGGCUUGAAAGAUCUGAAGAGAUUAACACUUCUCAAUGGAGAACUUUGCAUUUCGAGAUUAGAGAAUGUGAAUGACCCGCGGGAGGCAAAAGAAGCUGCAUUAUGGGAGAAAAAGAAUCUAGAAUCAUUGUCCUUACUGUGGAGGUCUAAGUUUGACAGCUCCCGAAGAGAGGUUUUAGAAGAAAGUGUACUUGACGUGCUAAAACCUUAUCCAAAUAUCAAGAAACUCACAAUUAUGUGCUACGGUGGGCAAAGAUUUCCUUCUUGGAUAGGAGAUCCAUCUUUCUCCGUGAUAGAGGUCCUUAAAUUAGAAAAUUGUGAAAAUUGCACAUCCUUGCCAUCGCUUGGGUUGUUGAGUUCACUUAAGCAUCUUAUGUUAGAUUAAUUUUAUAUUAAUCUAAUAUAUUUGGGGCCACACAUGAAAUAAAUAAAAUGUGUGUGCUAUUAUUUAAUAAGCCAAGAAUUAAGUGAUCUAAUUGAAGUUCAUUAAAUGGUUAAGGGUAUAAUUAUUGUGGAUUAAAUGCAUAGAUACCAGAAUUUAAUCAUCACUUUAAUGAGGGGCUGAAGUAAUUAUUAUCAUAAAUACGUGACUGUUGGGUUUUCUAAAAGAAAACUAAUAGUCACGAUAUUUAUAUAAAAAGGGGUUAUGGUCCCCAAUCUCUCUAAUAAUCUUUUGUAAUUCUCUAAUCCUCUCAAAGAGAAUUCUAAACUCAAGAAAAAGAGAAGAUUGGAAGUCCAUCUCCUACACUCAAGAACCACUACGAAUCACCAUGGAUUCAGGUACGCUUCCGCUUUCGUAUUUCUCAGUAAUUUAAUAUGGAUGUUAUGAAGAUUAAGAGGACAACAAGUGGUAUCAGAGCCACAUCCAUGAUUAGAUUAUUGAGUUAUUAAUAUCAUUUUGCUUGAAAUUUUGUAAUUGUUGUGGUUAGACCACGUUUCGGUUUCGGUUUUAUCAAUUAUUUCGGUUAUGGUUUUAUAAUCUUUAAAUUAAAAUGAUUUAUAACAUAAGUUUAUUAUUGGUCUAACAUUGAUAUGCUAAUUAAAACAAGAAGUCACCAAAGUGAUAUCUCUUGUGUAGAGUAGUUUAUUUGAAGUGUUAGAUGUUUGUGUUUGUGUAAUUCCUGCGGAUGUUAAUCGACCCAAAGGAAGGUUAAUAUUUGGCCUAAUUACACACACACUUGUGAUGGUAAAUUUGUGACGAUUAUUAAGAUAACUUAAUGUGAGUAAUUUACUAAUCCAAAGAUUGGUUCAUUACUUGACAUAAUUUAUUGUCAAAAUUUGAUAAUUGCAACAAGAGUACCAUUUACAAUUAGUAUUAUAGUCCAAAGACUUGUUACUAAUGUUGUGCUAGGUAUCUUGAAAUGUUAUAAUUUUUUUAAUUUUUAAAGAUUAUUACUUGAGUUAUUUAAUGUGAGUAUUAUUAUUAUUAGGGAAAUUAUCAUUUGUAUACCCUAUAUUUGCUCUGUUAUCAAAAAUACUACAACACUUUGAGGGUGUAUCAAUCGUCCACCCUUAGUUGACAAAAUGUAUCAGCCGACCACCAAACCGUUAGUUGCCGUUUGAAAGUUAACGGAAGUACAGUGAAUUGACGAUUUUACCCUUGAAAACUAUCACUUGUAUACCCUUAAAUUCUCUUUUUAUCACUUGUAUACCCUUAAAUUAUCACUUGUAUCAUAUGAAAAGACCAAAUUACCCUUCUGACGUCAUCAUACUUAAACGGCAACUAACGGUUUGGUGGUCAGCUGAUACAUUUUGUCAACUUAGGGUGGACGAUUGAUACACCCUCAAAGUGUUGUAGUAUUUUUGAUAAUGGAGUAAAAUAAGGGUAUACAAAUGAUAAUUUCCCUUAUUAUUAUUAUUUUUUUCUCUAUUCAGCUUUUUUGUCUGCUACUUCUAUAUCUGCAAACAUGAAUAGUGUCCCGGUUCUAAAUGGGACUAAUUUUAAGGACUGGAAAGAGAAUAUGAUGAUUCUCUUAGGCUGCAUGGAUCUAGACUUAUCAUUCAGACACCCUAAGCUGGACGAACUCACUGAUGAUAGUACAUCUGAGGAUGUGUUAUACUAUGAGAAGUGGGAUCGAUCUAACAGGAUGAGUCUUAUGAUCAUGAAGCGCGGUAUUCCAGAAGUAUUUAGGAGUGCUAUAAUUGAUGAGGUUACAAGUGCUAGUGAGUUUCUUACCGAAAUUCAGAAACGUUUUACAAAAAACGAUAAGGCUGAAACAAGUACGCACUUAGCAAGCUUGAUUUCCAUGAAGUAUAAAGGCAAGGGAAACGUUCGGGAGUACAUCAUGUAGAUGUCUCAUCUUGCUUCUAAGCUUAAGGCAUUAGAGCUCGACCUAUCUGAUGAUUUGGUUGUGCAUUUGGUCCUUAUCUCUCUCCCAACACAAUUUAAUCAGUUCAAAGUCAGUUACAAUUGUCAGAAAGAAAAAUGGAAUCUCAAUGAACUGAUUUCCUUUUGUGUACAAGAAGAAGAGAGACUGAAGCAAGAGAAAUCCGAAUCUGCACAUAUGGUAAGCACUUCUAAAGAUAAGGGCAAAAGAACGAAAAAAGGUGAAGCUGCUGCUUGUAAGGGUCCAGAGCCAAAGAAACCAAAGGCCGAGCAUGGCUGUUUCUUCUGCGGCAAGCCUGGACAUGUGAAGAAGGAAUGUCAAAAAUAUCACGCAUGGCGCGUAAAGAAAGGUACAUUUCUUACUUUGGUUUGUUCUGAAACUAAUUUAGCUUCAGUACCAAGAAACACAUGGUGGAUAUAUUCGGGUGCUACUACUCACAUUUGUGUUUCAUUGCAGGGUUGCCUGAGCUACCGGUCGCCAAGUGAUGCUGAAAGAUGCAUUUAUGUAGGAGAUGGCAAGACGGUAGAAGUUGAAGCAAUUGGGCAUUUUAGAUUACUUAUGAAAACUGGUUGUUAUUUGAAUUUGUUAGAUACUUUUGUUGUUCCGUGUUUUAGACGGAAUUUGAUUUCAGUUUCUGUUUUGGACAAAUCUGGUUAUUCUUGUUCAUUUGUAAACAGACAAUUUAGUUUAUCUAUCAAUUCUAAUGUUAUUGGAACCGGUUUACUUAAUGCUUAUGACAAUCUAUAUUUGCUAGACACUGUUUCACGUUAUAAUGAAAACCUGCAUUUUAGUUCCAGAGGUAUAAAGCGUAAAUUAGAAAAAGAAAAUUCAGCCUCAUUAUGGCACAAACGCUUAGGUCACAUCUCUAAAGCUCGACUUGAGCGAUUAGUAUCUGAUGAGAUUUUAAGAUCUCUUGAUUUUACAGACCUUGAUGUUUGUAUUGAGUGUAUCAAGGGAAAACAAACCAAAAGUAAGAAAUUAGGAGCCUACAGAACAUCAGCCGUCUUAGAAUUAAUUCAUACAGAUAUCUGUGGACCAUUCCCUACAGCUACUUGGAAUGGUCAACAAUAUUUCAUUACCUUCAUAGACGACUAUUCGAGAUAUGGCUAUAUAUUCUUAAUUCAUGAAAAAUCACAGUCUUUGGAUGUGUUCAAAACGUUUAAAGCCGAAGUUGAGUUACAACUCAACAAAAUGAUUAAAAAUGUCAGGUCUGACCGUGGUGGUGAAUACUACGGUAGAUAUGAUGGUUCAGGUGAACAACGUCCAGGACCGUUUGCUAAAUACUUAGCGGAAUGUGGAAUUGUCCCUCAAUAUCCUAUGCCAGGAUCGCCUAACAUGAAUGGUGUAUCUGAGAGACGAAACCGCACUCUUAAGGAUAUGGUAAUAAGUAUGAUCAGUCAUUCUACUUUACCAGAAUCACUCUGGGGUGAAGCACUAAAAACAGCAGCUUAUAUCCUAAAUCGAGUGCCAACUAAAGCGGCUGCUAAAACACCUUAUGAGCUUUGGACGGGUCGCAAGCCUAGUCUAAACCAUUUACAUAUUUGGGGCUGUCCAGCUGAGGCGAGGCCUUAUAGACCUCAUAAAAGGACAUUGGAUUCCAAAACUGUAAGCAGCUACUUUGUUGGCUAUGCAGAGCGAUCAAGGGGUUUUAAGUUUUAUGAUCCCAGUACAAGGUCAAUUUUUGAGACGGGAACUGCUACAUUCUUUGAGGAUGUUGAGUUUGGGGGGAGAAAUCCAGUAAGAAACAUUGUCUUUGAAGAUGAAGAGGGAUCCACUGUUGCUUUUGACAAUGUACAAGUUUUAAUACCUGUCAUUGAUCAUGAAGUAAAUUCAGAUCCUCAACCAUCUGACAAUAUUGUUCAACCUCAACAUCAACAUGAAAUGAUUGUUCCUGAGGAACAAACUCAACAACCUCAAGAGCCUGUGCAAUUAAGACGAUCCACAAGAGAAAGGAGAAAUGCUAUUCCGGAUGAUUAUAUAGUAUUUCUUCAGGAACAUGAGGAUGAAACUGGAGUGAUGGAAGAUGACCCAAUUAACUUUCAUCAAGCCAUGCAAAGCUCCAAUUCUCAUAAAUGGAUCGAAGCCAUGAAUGAAGAGUACAAGUCAAUGCAAGACAAUAAAGUUUGGGAACUCAUCUCAUUACCUUCUGGUGCGAAGCCCAUUGGUUGUAAAUGGAUAUUUAAAACCAAAAGGGAUUCAAAAGGUAAUGUGGAAAGGUAUAAAGCACGUCUGGUAGCUAAAGGCUUUACUCAAAAGGAAGGAAUUGACUAUAAAGAGACUUUCUCUCCGGUUUCUACGAAAGACUCUUUUAGGACAAUUAUGUCACUUGUUGCACAUUUUGAUCUUGAGUUACAUCAGAUGGAUGUUAAGACUGCUUUCCUUAAUGGUGACAUUGAGGAAACAAUUUAUAUGGUACAACCAGAAAACUUUGUGUUGGGAGACCCAAAGAAAAUGGUUUAUAAGCUAACCAAAUCCAUCUAUGGGCUCAAACAAGCUUCUCGUCAAUGGUACUUUAAGUUUCAUCAAAUAAUUAUCUCAUAUGGUUUUGAGGCAAAUGUUAUUGAUGAAUGUGUGUAUCACAAGUUCAGUGGGAGUAAACAUAUAUUCCUAGUUUUAUAUGUUGAUGACAUAUUGCUUGCCACAAAUGAUAUAGGCAUACUGCACGACACCAAGAGUUUUCUAUCAAAACAUUUUGAAAUGAAAGAUAUUGGUGAUGCCUCCUUUGUUUUAGGAAUCGAGAUACAUCGGGAUCGUUCUCGGGGUAUUCUGGGAUUGUCACAAAGGAACUAUAUCGAUAAAGUUUUAAAGAAGUUUGGCAUGCAAAACAGUAAACCAGGUGACACCCCUGUCGCCAAAGGAGAUAAAUUCAGCCUUAGUCAAUGCCCUAAGACCAAUCUUGAAAUCCAGGAAAUGGAGAAGAUUCCUUAUUCUUCAGCUAUAGGGAGUCUUAUGUAUGCUCAAGUAUGUACGCGUCCAGAUAUUGCGUUUAUAGUUGGCAUGUUGGGCAGAUAUUUGAGCAAUCCCGGGAUGGAUCAUUGCAAAGCAGCCAAACGGGUUAUGAGGUACUUACAGAGAACAAAAGAGUACAUGCUCACAUAUAGGAGGUCGGAUCAGUUAGAGAUCAUUGGGUAUUCCGACUCUGAUUUUGCUGGAUGCCAAGAUAGCCGAAGAUCCACAUCAGGCUAUAUUUACAUGUUAGCUGGUGGAGCAAUUUCUUGGAGAUCUGCCAAGCAGACACUUGUAGCUUCAUCGACUAUGGCAGCAGAGUUUGUAGCAUGUUAUGAGGCGUCUAAUCAAGGCAUAUGGUUGCGUAAUUUUGUCACUGGGCUGCGCAUUCUAGAAGGUGUAGAAAAACCGCUCAAGAUAUUUUGUGACAAUAAGUCAUCAGUUUUAUAUUCCAACAACAACAGGAGCUCUACAAAGUCAAAACACAUUGACAUCAAGUUCCUUGUUGUGAAGGAAAGAGUACAGAGUGGACAAAUAUCUAUAGAGCACAUUGGGACAAACUCCAUGAUAGCGGAUCCGCUCACUAAAGGAUUACCACCUAAAGUCUUUCAUGAGCACACUGCUCGUAUGGGUGUGAUUUUACUUGAAGAUAUUCAGAUUUAGUGGGAGUUUGUAUCAUUACUAAGUGCGACUUUUAGAUUUUUGAUUAUAUUAUUCAGAUUAUUUUCUGCAGAAAUACAGUAUUUCGGUUCCUUACACUCUGUUGGACUAACUUAAGUUUAGAUCUCAAUAAAGUGAAUUAGGACCAGUUGGGAAUAGACAUGUUUAGAUCACAUUGCAUGUAAUUUCCAUGCUAUGCAUCCACAAUUGAUCUAUGUUAUGUAACUAUCUUGAUAUAUGUGACCAUGGAUGGUUGCGUUACGAUUAAUGUAACAAAGGCCGCUAUGAUCCUAUACCGAUGUAGUUAUUGAACUAGAUUGUUCAUAUAUACCCUACGGACAUAAUAGCAAUUUCAUGAGCUCAUUAAGUUAGACACAUUUCAGUUUUUCAUUUGUGGCCCAGUGGGAGAUAUUGUUAGAUUAAUUUUAUAUUAAUCUAAUAUAUUUGGGGCCACACAUGAAAUAAAUAAAAUGUGUGUGCUAUUAUUUAAUAAGCCAAGAAUUAAGUGAUCUAAUUGAAGUUCAUUAAAUGGUUAAGGGUAUAAUUAUUGUGGAUUAAAUGCAUAGAUACCAGAAUUUAAUCAUCACUUUAAUGAGGGGCUGAAGUGAUUAUUAUCAUAAAUACGUGACUGUUGGGUUUUCUAAAAGAAAACUAAUAGUCACGAUAUUUAUAUAAAAAGGGGUUAUGGUCCCCAAUCUCUCUAAUAAUCUUUGGUAAUUCUCUAAUCCUCUCAAAGAGAAUUCUAAACUCAAGAAAAAGAGAAGAUUGGAAGUCCAUCUCCUACACUCAAGAACCACUACGAAUCACCAUGGAUUCAGGUACGCUUCCGCUUUCGUAUUUCUCAGUAAUUUAAUAUGGAUGUUAUGAAGAUUAAGAGGACAACAUCUUACAGUUAAAGGUUUGACAAAACUCAAGAGCAUAGGUAUUGAGGUUUAUGGAAAGGAUUGCUCAAAGUCGUUUCAAUCAUUGAAGAUUCUUCGUUUUGAGAAUUUGCCAGAAUGGGAGCAUUGGGACACGGAGUUCAAAGAAAAUGGUCUUGUUGCAGGAUUCUCUAGCCUCCGUCAACUUUCCAUUGUGAAGUGUCCCAAAUUCUCUGGAAAAUCACUGGAGCAUCUGCCUUCAUUGGGGAGACAAAGCACAACUUUAGCAUGCUUACCUGAAGAAAUUUUAGGCAAGAAUUCACAACUGGAAAGCUUGUACAUCCAAGAUUGUCAUUCUCUAAGAUUGAUUGCAAGACGAAAGCUAUCUUCAUCUCUUAAAAGCCUUAAGAUUCGGAGUUGUCAAAAAUUACAGCAGUUGGUGGAUGAUGAAGAAGGUGCUUCUUCUUCUUCAUCAAUGAUGCUGAAACACCUAGAGAUAAGGUAUUGCCCACAGCUGACCAGUUUCUCAUCAGGAACCCAGCUACUUGAGGCGCUUGAAGUCCUCCACGUAAGUAAUUGUCCAUUGCUGGAGUCAAUACCUGGAGGUCUGCACAAUAUUCAGAGCAUUAAUAUAGAAGACUGUGCAAAUGUUGUCUCCUUGGCAGAAAGAGGGCUUCCCAACACCAUUUCACGUGUUAAAAUAUGGAGUUGUGAGAAGCUUGAAGCCCUGCCCAAUGACAUGCACAAACUACACUCACUUCAAUUUUUAGAGGUAAGACGGUGUCCAAGUCUUGUUUCCUUGGCAGAAAGAGGGCUUCCCAUCACCAUUUCAAGGGUUUUCAUUGAAGAUUGUGAGAAACUUAAAGCUCUACCUGACAACAUCCACAAAUUGAACUGUCUUCAAUUUUUAGAGAUAAGGCGAUGUCCAAGUAUUGUAUCAUUUCCAGAAGAAGGUUUCCCGCCAGUCUGAAAUCACUUGUUAUUGGAGGAGAUGUGAAAAUGUAUGAGGCACUCAUCCAGUGGGGGUUGCACAAGCUUACCUCUCUUAGACGCCUCUUGAUUGCUGAAGAAUGUCAUGAAGCGGAGUGUUUUCCAGACGAGGAGAUUGGAAUGACGUUGCCCACCACUCUAAGUGAGUUGCAGCUUUGGGGACUGUCAAAAUUGAAAUUGCUAUCUUCCACGGGUUUUCAGUGCCUCACUCUCUUGAAUAUCUGUGUAUCCAGAAUUGCCUAAAUCUCACAUCCUUUCCAGAGGUGGGCCUUCCAUCCUCACUCUUGGAACUAAAAUUAAUAAUGUGUCCAAUGCUUGAAAAAGAGUGCAAAAGGAAUAAAGGAAAAGAAUGGUCCAAGAUAGCCAACAUCCCUCGUGUUGUGAUAGACGGAGAAAUCAUAUAUACAGUGGAGUAGUUUUUAUUAAUCAUUCCAUCUCUUAUCAUACCCAACAAUCAAGGUCAGUUGAUUUCUAUAAUCCACUAUAACAAGCUCUUUUGAUUCUGCACUUGUAUCAUUAAUCGAUCACCUUACCUAAAUUGAAAAUGCUUAUCUCUUUUUAUUUUUAUUUUCAUUUUUAUUUUCUGUUUUCUUAUUCUUCAGAAUGAUGCUAGUUGACAGUUUCAAAUGACAAAUGCCUUGGGAGUAGAAAUAAUUUUUUUAACUCGUGAUGGUGAGUGAGUAGUAAUCAAAGAAAUUCUUUCAGCUUAGUAAAAAUAAUAAAUGGUACAUGCUGUUCUGGAUUAUAUACUAUACAUUCUAAGGUUCCUUAUGUCUGCUUGUUUUCAGGUGAUGAAUCUAUUUUGUUACAGAAUUGGAUUGAAAGUAAGCUGGGUAAUAAGUACACAAGGGCGUUAAUUUUUUGGAUUUCCUCAUGGAGUAUGGAUCUUUGGUGCAAGCAUAUGGGAUAAACGAAGUGUCAAAAGCAAUUUCAACUUAUUGAUUUUUCUACUGCUGUGGCUAUGAUUGAAAGGUAGUCAAAAGAAAUUUGCAAACUUAUAUAUAGUUGCAGAUUUUGGUAAUGCUUUUUUUUUUUUUUUGUCCAUUUUUGGUCAUAGACAUUUAGAUAUUUUAGAUCCCGAAUUUUAACAUUAAUUUCAUGCCAUUUUUACUUCAGAGGGAUGUUCAGAGGGAAUUGAGUUGCAAUUUUAAACUAGAAUCGGAGUAUGGCAUUUUGUAGCUGAGCAUAUACGUGACGAAUGAUUAUAUGAACUGCUGUGGUGAGUGGUAACUAAAGAAAUUUGUUUGCUUAAGUCAAAUUUCAUUUUGGUGUCCUGGAUAUACAUGCUUGAGCUCCUCUUAUUUAUUUCAGGUGCUGAAUUCAUUUUCUUCUUCAAAUAAGGGAAGAAAAGUCGGAAAGGUUUAAUCUGAUCUUGAAGUUAACAGAUUGAUGUUAAUUGUACAACUAGAAUGGGCUCUCUUGUCCUACUGUAUGAUAUCAAAUUUUCCAAUAAGAUGGCAUUUGUGUACUUAUUCCUUCUCCCCACACCAUUUUCUUUCUUUCUGGUGAAGAGUGUCUACUUAAUAAGUCUUUGUUUUCUUCAGGAUUGCAUAAUGCCAAGAAUGGAGUGAUUAAAUAAGUGCUGCUGCGGCUUGCUUUUCCUUCUUUGGUAUUGAAGGUAACUCAAUUCGGCAGGUGAAGACAGCAGCAACCCAGUAGAUAGAUGCAAUUUAAGGAUUGUGUACCUCAAUUAUACCUUGAUAUUAUUGAUAACAUGUCAAUUAUACCUUGAUAUUAUUGAUAAAAUGUUAGUUAUAUUUCAGUUCUGCAAUUUUAAGGAAAAUUGAGUUGUCGACAGUCGGUUUCUGCAGGUAACUAGUUCUUUUUUUCUUUUUUUGGGUUAUUAAUUACAUUUUAAUUAAGUUGAUUUUAGGACCUUUAAAGAUUCAAUUUUUCAUUUUCUUUUUCUUCAAAGGGAAGCAAGUGGACUGUAUCAAACAUACCUGAUAAAUGAAGUAUUCAUCUCUGAUUUAAAAGUUAUUAGCUUUUUCAUCCGCUUGAUAGUAACUAAAUGAGCUUUUGAGCUCAGUGGCAUUAAUUGUAAUAACUGAUGUUUUAGAUAUAUUAAACAUGCCAAGUUCCAUUGUAAAUAUUAUUGAUUAAAUCUUAUUGAUUAAAUCUUAAGCUUCUAGUUUUUGCUAAAGAUUCAUAGAUAUAAGAUAUUGUACUGCUUUGUUCUGUUGCAGAGUAAUCGAUGAUAAUUUAGUGAUAAAGAAUUUGGUGAAAGCCAACAACUCAAAAUGUUUAAGUGAGGGAAUGAUGACAUCAUGUGAGCAAAACCUGGGUAUCAGCAUCUUAAUGGCGAUAUGGAAAUCCUUGUUGAGGCAAACUUACAGUUGAAUCAGUUGAAGUUCAUCUGAUGAGCUGCACAAUCUCACAUCUCUCAAGCAAAUGCUGUCCUAAAGUCCUAGAUAUUGAAGCUUUUCGCAUUUCAACAAAUUUUUGCAAGACAGGUGAGGAUGGUGGGAAAACUAAAAAUCUGGAUCACCAGCUAACUUCUAGUCAUUGCCACUCUUGCAUGUUUCUGGAUUUGAUCAAACCAAAAUGACUUUUGAAGUUGUUAUUUUAUGUCUUUAUAAAACUAUAAUGACCAAGCCGCCAGUGUAACAUUCCUGAAAGAAUAUUGUGAUUGCUUCAGAAUAUGCUCGGUGCAUAACAGAGACAUCCUCGUAGAAAAGCAUACAUAGCUAAUAACCAGGUAAAUAUUCCUUGAUUCUUGCCAGGUAACUUCUAUUCCUAGGUUUCCAGAUAAUUUACAUUUCAGAAAUUGUUCUUAGUUGAAGAAUCUGAUUUACAUUUUGUUUUCCAGAAUAUGUACAUUUUACAAUAUGAUGUGCUUCAGUUGCAGUAUCUGGGGCACCUUUCGAAUUACACUUGCCUUUUUCUUUGUUUGCAUGUGAUUUGACUUGAAGGAUGCCAACAUGGCUAGAUAUUUGAAGAAACACCAAAAGAGGCUUAAUGCCAGGGGAACUUGCUCGGGCACUUUUGCUCCCAAGCCUGUAAUCCCACAAACAAAUUCAGGGAGUGAAUGCAUGCCGUUCAUUUGUGGUCCCAAAAACAGGUUGAUACCUGGCCGCUGGUACUGAACAUCUCUGCAAUUUGGAAGCAGGGUAAUAAUUGUGUUGACACACAAGCUUCAAACUGUUAAAGCUAUACCCUUCUUGCUUCAGGAAUCCAUGUUGUAUGUCUCAAAUUCUGAAAGCAAAUGAGAAUUACUGCUUCCUCUAAGGCACCAUUCCAAGAUCUGCUUUUGUAUUCAUUCAAUCAGAUCAAUCAUAUGGAUUGUCAACUUUCAAGGAUACGAUGAAUUAUGAGUGAACAGAGGACUUGGAGGAAGAAUCAUUAAGAACAGAGCAAAAACUGAGAAGCAGAUAAGAGGAAGUUGGCUAUCAUUGAAGAAGAGGCAGCUUGCAUUGCUUUAGUUAAUGAUGAUAACCGUCAAACAUGCUCUUGGUUUGUAUGUUAACAUGAUUGGAGUAUGAGAGAAACUACAUUUGUCUAAUUUUUUUGACUUCAUUGAUUUUUUUUCCCCUCUCACUUAAUCUUCAAA